rnacentral:rRNA from 1 species
UACGGGAGGCAGCAGUGGGGAAUAUUGCACAAUGGGCGAAAGCCUGAUGCAGCUAUGCCGCGUGUAUGAAGAAGGCCUUAGGGUUGUAAAGUACUUUCAUCGGGGAGGAAAAAACAAAACUAAUAAUUUUAUUUCUUGACGUUACCCGAAAAAGAAGCACCGGCUAACUCCGUGCCAGCAGCCGCGGUAAUACGGAGGGUGCUAGCGUUAAUCAGAAUUACUGGGCGUAAAGAGCACGUAGGUGGUUUUUUUAAAGUCAGAUGUGAAAUCCCUGGGCUUAACCUGGAACUGCAUUUUGAAACUGAAAUACUAGAGUAUCGUAGAGGGAGGUAGAAUUCUAGGUGUAGCGGUGAAAUGCGUAGAUAUCUGGAGGAAUACCUGUGGCGAAAGCGGCCUCCUAAACGAAUACUGACACUGAGGUGCGAAAGCGUGGGGAGCAAACGAGGGAUUAGAUACC